CACAAUCGGUUUGUAUGCUUGACAAAGGGGACCACCCCGAAACGUUGCAUCACGCAAAUAAAAAUAUAGCAAGGGUUAUCCCUGCUUGCAACUAAAGAUCUGUGUGCUGGUGGAAUUAUUCGUUCUGGAAGUUUGUGGGUUUCCGAAGCCCUCUCGGCCGGGCACCGGGCAAUAUACGAUUUGGGGAGCCAGGGUGUGCAAGCUGGUGUUCCUGACCACCUUAGAACUGCCACGCCCUUGGAGUACCCCACGUAGGAUCCAGAGAUCUCCUGGGAACAAGCACAAGAAUACACACACGAGAUGUGAUGCCAAUACUUGUUUGUUUAUUGCAUAGUGAAGCAGGCUUAUAUACCUUAGCACGUCCUUGCAAGAUGCAUACAAGGUACAAAGUAUCUUUUAUCCGCUAACUGACCCCGUGAGGACCUGACCGCGGUUGAACUAGGAAGUAGAUGAGAAGACGCCGAGACUGUGGGACACGAGGCAACUAAUGCGUCCGUGAGCAGGAUCGCAAGGAAAGCGAGCGCAGCAUAUUGUGAACCCGUGAGGAGAGCAGUGAUACCGCGUAUAAGGAAAGGGCUGAGCCUUACCACACUGCGGAUCUAUACCAACUUGCAGCCAUGUCCGGGAAAUCCUGUAAGUACCAACCAAGCAGGGCCCUGAUACCGGCUUCUACCAUAUUUCACAUUGGUGUGCCUUUUUCUUUUGUUUUUAAAGAUAAGAAACGAUCGCUGGCUGCAGGGAUUGUGAACAUAAUAUUCGGACAGAUCCUUUUGGCUCCGGAUCUCUGUAGAAUACAGGGACUUUUUAAGACAUUUGGGGGACACAAAAGUUGGUGUAUUUUUAUUUGUAAACGGAAGCGCAAAAUCAAAUGUUUCAAUAACUGACAGCGGCUCAGAGCAAGUGCAGUGAAUCAGCAGAAAAGAAGAUGGAGAGCUACUAGGGCAUCUUCAGAUACCCAGAUACAGACCUUCCCUGCUAAAGAUGGUAGCCUUGGGCUGGUACAGAAGCCCAAAACAUAGGGGGUUAUUUACUGAAGUCGGAGUUUUAAAGUGGAAUACACAAUUCUUUGGGUUAUUAAACCCCGAGCCUUCUAAAAGUCCAAAUAAAAAAGUACUCCAUCUUAAACUUGCCAUGGUCAUGUAGAAGUCAAAGAUGUCCAUUUUACUAUUGGAAGGUAUCAUGAUCUGUACUGGGUUUCGUACGAGAAUCCAAAAAAAUUGUGGUCUUUGGGCGAUAAUCCAAAAAAGAGUUUUCAGGAGUCAAAUCUGAAAACGAUCGCAUGAUUUUAGCAAUUCUUUUACCGCACAAGAUUUUUUCAAGUUCAUUUAUUGAUAAAUAAAGUAAAACUGUGGAGGGGAGUUUGGUUUUACUGAAAUAAUGAAAUAUUUUCAGAUUUUAGUAAAUAACCCCACCAUAAUGUACAAAAUUUUUAGCCUACUUCUUUUGUUAUGCUUGAAUUCUCAUUUUUCGUAUGUUAUAAAAUGGCUAAUACUAAGCAACUUUUCAAUUGGUCUUC